AUAACAGCGAGUAAUCAUCGUUUACGGCAUGGACUACCAGGGUAUCUAAUCCUGUUCGCUACCCAUGCUUUCGUGCAUCAGCGUCAGUUAUUGGCCAGUACAAUGCCUUCGCUAUCGGUGUUCCUGAUGGUAUCUAUGCAUUUCACCGCUACACCAUCAAUUCCAUGUACCCCUCCAAUACUCAAGCCAACCAGUAUCAAUGGCAAUUUCUGGGUUGAGCCCAAAACUUUCACCACUGACUUAAUCAGCCGCCUACGCACCCUUUAAACCCAAUAAAUCCGGACAACGCUUGCACCCUCCGUAUUACCGCGGCUGCUGGCACGGAGUUAGCCGGUGCUUAUUCAUCUGGUACCGGCAAUGUCCCACGCAUGGGCCUUUUCUUCCCAGAUAAAAGCAGUUUACAACGCAGAACGCCGUCUUCCUGCACGCGGCAUGGCUGGGUCAGACUCUCGUCCAUUGCCCAAUAUUCCCUACUGCUGCCUCCCGUAGG
rnacentral:rRNA from 1 species